rnacentral:rRNA from 1 species
CUUGCUUCUCCCCGGCGACGAGUGGCGAACGGGUGAGUAAUACAUCGGAACGUGUCCGCUCGUGGGGGACAACCAGCCGAAAGGUUGGCUAAUACCGCAUGAGUUCUACGGAAGAAAGAGGGGGACCCGCAAGGGCCUCUCGCGAGCGGAGCGGCCGAUGACUGAUUAGCCGGUUGGUGAGGUAACGGCUCACCAAAGCAACGAUCAGUAGCUGGUCUGAGAGGACGACCAGCCACACUGGGACUGAGACACGGCCCAGACUCCUACGGGAGGCAGCAGUGGGGAAUUUUGGACAAUGGGCGCAAGCCUGAUCCAGCUAUUCCGCGUGUGGGAUGAAGGCCCUCGGGUUGUAAACCACUUUUGUAGAGAACGAAAAGACACCUUUUAAAAAAGGGUGUUGCUGACGGUACUCUAAGAAUAAGCACCGGCUAACUACGUGCCAGCAGCCGCGGUAAUACGUAGGGUGCGAGCGUUAAUCGGAAUUACUGGGCGUAAAGGGUGCGCAGGCGGUUGAGUAAGACAGAUGUGAAAUCCCCGAGCUUAACUCGGGAAUGGCAUAUGUGACUGCUCGACUAGAGUGUGUCAGAGGGAGGUGGAAUUCCACGUGUAGCAGUGAAUGCGUAGAUAUGUGGAAGACACCGAUGGCGAA